CAUAAAGCUGCGAGCAAAGCCCUUUCCGUCGCCGGGUUUCUGUGUCACGUGCGUGGGGGGGAACUGGUCAUGUGACUUCGGCUGGCCGUCGGGGGCAGCUGACGGCUUGAGGCGCGAGCGGGGCUGUGGGCGUUAGGGACCCCCGCGCGCGCCGGCAGGAUGCAGAACGUCAUCAACACGGUGAAGGGGAAGGCGCUGGAGGUGGCCGAGUACCUCACGCCCGUGCUCAAGGAGUCAAAGUUUAAAGAAACUGGAGUCAUCACUCCUGAAGAGUUUGUGGCAGCUGGAGACCAUUUAGUUCACCACUGUCCUACUUGGCAAUGGGCUUCAGGAGAAGAAUUAAAGGUCAAGGCUUAUCUGCCAACAGACAAACAGUUUUUGGUAACUAAAAAUGUGCCAUGCUACAAGCGGUGUAAACAGAUGGAGUAUUCAGAUGAACUGGAAGCAAUUAUAGAAGAAGAUGAUGGUGAUGGGGGAUGGGUAGACACAUUUCACAAUGCAGGUAUUGCAAGCGGGACAGAAGCAGUUAAGGAGAUCACACUGGAGAGCAAGGACAGUAUAAAACUACCAGGACAUCCAGUCUCUUUUGAAGAUGAUGAGGAAGAUGAAGGGGAAGCAGCUGACAUGGAAGAAUAUGAAGAGAGUGGGCUAUUGGAGACAGAUGACGCAACUCUUGAUACAAGAAAAAUAGCAGAAGCUAGCAAAGCUAAAGCUGAUGUCGGAGGGGAAGAUACCAUCCUGCAGACCAGAACUUAUGACCUCUAUAUCACUUAUGACAAAUACUACCAAACUCCCAGACUGUGGUUAUUUGGAUAUGAUGAGCAACGGCAGCCUUUAACAGUAGACUACAUGUAUGAAGAUAUUAGUCAAGAUCAUGUCAAAAAAACAGUAACAAUUGAAAAUCAUCCUCAUCUUCCUCCACCACCUAUGUGUUCAGUUCAUCCAUGCAGGCAUGCAGAAGUGAUGAAGAAAAUAAUUGAAACAGUUGCAGAAGGUGGGGGAGAACUUGGAGUUCAUAUGUAUCCUUUCCAUGGAAUGUCAGGAGACCUCUGAAGAGUAUGUUAUCUAAUAAAGGUCUAAUCCAUCCUAUGUCUAUUCCUAAAACUUUAUUUUGCAGUUCAAGAUGGACACAAACUGUAGAGUCUGCUUCAUAUCCGCUACCUGUGGAUGGGACAGAUUAUGUGGUGUAACAUAAGUCUAAAGCAAGUUAAACUGGAAGGUAACCCAUAGAAAGCAAUUCAAUGUAAACACAAAGUAUUUCAUGCAAAACUGGCUUAGUAUUAGCAGGGUAAAGUUUUUUAAAAUAAGUGAAUUUCUUAAACUUGAAAUAUUACCUGAUCAUUCAAA